ACUCCUACGGGAGGCAGCAGUGGGGAAUUUUGCGCAAUGGGGGAAACCCUGAAGCAGCAACGCCGCGUGGAGGAUGAAGUCCCUUGGGAUGUAAACUCCUUUUGAU
rnacentral:rRNA from 1 species